rnacentral:rRNA from 1 species
GGCGCACGGGUGCGUAACGCGUAUGCAAUCUACCUUAUACAGGGGAAUAGCCCAGGGAAACUUGGAUUAAUGCCCCAUAGUAUCAUUAAGUAGCAUUACUUGAUGAUUAAAGAUUUAUCGGUAUAAGAUGAGCAUGCGUCCCAUUAGUUAGUUGGUAAGGUAACGGCUUACCAAGACAGCGAUGGGUAGGGGCCCUGAGAGGGGGAUCCCCCACACUGGUACUGAGACACGGACCAGACUCC